GUCGCGAGCGCGUAUAAGCCCUCCGGUACAGCCAACAGCUAUGCUGAAUUCAAGCAUACCUGUUGCCGACUCACCAGCGCGCUGCAUUUUAAACCGCCUGCACUAUGCUACGAGGACACCGGAGUGUAAAAAUGAACAUGUGCGGUGGAGCCAGUACUGGCCAUUAUACUGGCUCCACAUGUGUCCAAACACACCCCGCCUCACAGCGCUCAUCCUCUAGACGACACCGCGCUCCUACGGCAGCGCCCUAAACACACCAACGAAUCUUUUGGUCGUUGUUACCCAAAGGAAGAAAAUAGCAGACAUGGCAAAAUGUGGCCAAUAGAUCCAUCUGCAGCAAACAUUGAAGAUAGCAGUUUAAGCAUGAAUGAAAAAGAAAGCCUCAUCGAUCUAUCAUCCGACGACAGUCUGAAAGCUAAAUUUCUUAUCAAGACCUCAUUUUUGGCUUUCCAUAAAA